rnacentral:tRNA from 3 species
AGGGGAUAUGGCGGAAUUGGUACACGCUACGGACUUGAAAUCCGUUGGUCUACGAGACCUUGAGGGUUCAAGUCCCUCUAUCCCCAAG